CUCUGGCUCUGGCUCUGUGCACUGGAGCUGUGCCUGCAGCCUGCCCUCCCGCAAAUUGUGGCUGUAAAUGUUCCUCCUGAAGAUCAGGAUGGCUCUGGGGAUGAUUCUGACAACUUCUCUGGCUCCAGCACAGGUGCUUUGCCAGAUACGUUGUCAAGGCAGACACCUUCCACUUGGAAGGACAUGUGGCUGUUGACAGCCACUCCCACAGCUCCAGAGCCCACCAGCAGCAACACCGAGACUGCUUUUGCCUCUGUCCGGCCAGCCAGAGAGAAGCCCAAGGAGGGAGAGCCUGUGCUCCAUGUAGAAGCAGAGCCUGGCUUCACUACUUGGGACAAGGAAAAGGAGGGCACCACCAGGCCCAGGGACACCAUGCAGCUCCCCAUCACCCAACAGGCCUCAACAGUCAGAGUUACCACAGCCCAGGCAGCUGUCACAUCUCAUCCACACUGGGGCAUGCAACCUGGCGGAGGGACGAAGGCAGCUACUCCUUGGAGGAGCCCAAACAAGCCAAUGGAGGUGCCUACCAGAAACCCACCAAGCAGGAGGAGUUCUAUGCCUGAUGGG
rnacentral:lncRNA from 1 species